rnacentral:rRNA from 1 species
UACGGGGGGAGCAAGCGUUGUUCGGAUUUACUGGGCGUAAAGGGCGCGUAGGCGGCCACCGCAAGUCGACUGUGAAAUCUCCGGGCUUAACCCGGAAAGGUCAACUGAUACUGCAGGGCUAGAGUGCAGAAGGGGCAACUGGAAUUCUCGGUGUAGCGGUGAAAUGCUUAGAUAUGACAUAGAACACCAAUUGCGUAGGCAGCUUACUACACGAUGAUUGACGCUGAGGCACGAAAGCGUGGGGAGCAAACAGG